GACGAACGCUGGCGGCGUGCUUAACACAUGCAAGUCGAACGAAGCGGCGAACGGGUUAGUAAUACGUGGGUACCCUGCCCUCCUUUUUGGGAUAAGCCUUGGAAACGGGGUCUAAUACCGACUAAAGGGGGAUGGGCUCGCGGCCUAUCAGCUUGUUGGUGGGGUGAUAGCCUACCAAGGCGGUGACGGGUAGCCGGCCUAAGAGGGAGACCGGCGACAUUGGGACGGAGAUACGGCCCAGACUACGACGGGAGGCAGCAGUGGGGAGAAUUGCACGAUGGGCGAGAGCCUAAUGCAGCGACGCCGCGUGGGGGAUGAAGGCUUUCGGGUUGUAAACCUCUUUCGCAAUCGGACGGGUAGGUGGGGAAGAAGCGCCGGCUAACUACGUGCCAGCAGCCGCGGUUAUUC
rnacentral:rRNA from 1 species